GAAUAUUGGACAAUGGGCGAAAGCCUGAUCCAGCCAUGCCGCGUGAGUGAUGAAGGCCUUAGGGUUGUAAAGCUCUUUUACCCGGGAAGAUAAUGACGGUACCGGGAGAAUAAGCCCCGGCUAACUUCAUGCCAGCAGCCGCGGUAAUACGAAGGGGGCUAGCGUUGUUCGGAAUCACUGGGCGUAAAGCGCACGUAGGCGGACAUUUAAGUCAGGGGUGAAAUCCCGAGGCUCAACCUCGGAACUGCCUUUGAUACUGGGUGUCUUGAGUAUGGAAGAGGUUGGUGGAACUGCGAGUGUAGAGGUGAAAUUCGUAGAUAUUCGCAAGAACACCAGUGGCGAAGGCGGCCAACUGGUCCAUCACUGACGCUGAGGUGCGAAAGCGUGGGGAGCAAACAG
rnacentral:rRNA from 1 species